AAGAAGAAGAGUGACGCCAAUCCGGCACAAGAGCCACCAAAGAAAGCAAGAACCAAGAUGAGUGCAAGCAAAGGCCAAUCCUCUCGGUCCGCUCAAGCAUCUCCUCCUCGCCGGAGCAAUGUUACUCGACCACAGGUCCACCCUCACUUCAUUAGUGAAGUUCAUGAGAAAAGGUACACACAAAUUCGAACCUUUACUAUUAAUCAAGAGAAGGGUUUUGGUGAGGAUUUGCUGAAUGGUGU
rnacentral:lncRNA from 1 species